CGCUUCUUUUUCCACCGGAGCUUGCUCCACCGGAAAAAGAGGAGUGGCGAACGGGUGAGUAACACGUGGGUAACCUGCCCAUCAGAAGGGGAUAACACUUGGAAACAGGUGCUAAUACCGUAUAACAAUCGAAACCGCAUGGUUUUGAUUUGAAAGGCGCUUUCGGGUGUCGCUGAUGGAUGGACCCGCGGUGCAUUAGCUAGUUGGUGAGGUAACGGCUCACCAAGGCCACGAUGCAUAGCCGACCUGAGAGGGUGAUCGGCCACAUUGGGACUGAGACACGGCCCAAACUCCUACGGGAGGCAGCAGUAGGGAAUCUUCGGCAAUGGACGAAAGUCUGACCGAGCAACGCCGCGUGAGUGAAGAAGGUUUUCGGAUCGUAAAACUCUGUUGUUAGAGAAGAACAAGGAUGAGAGUAACUGUUCAUCCCUUGACGGUAUCUAACCAGAAAGCCACGGCUAACUACGUGCCAGCAGCCGCGGUAAUACGUAGGUGGCAAGCGUUGU
rnacentral:rRNA from 1 species